rnacentral:sRNA from 1 species
UGUGAGGGAAGAGGCUUGUUGAGGAGGGGCCUGAAAUUGGUCCAGGGCCAAGCUGUGUGAGUCCCGAAGGUUUAUUUCAAGUGCGAAUUUGGCAGCCAACUCUGGAUCCCUACCUCUGCGGUGCCUAGAAGAAAAUAUGGCUGUCUUCUUGUUUGCCAGGGCUACCCAAGGUCAGUCUUCAUCUGCUGCCUGAGCUCCUUUCCGAGCCUCUGGAUGAGCUUGUCCUGGAUAUCUCCACUUCAACCAUUCUCCACACGCAGGUCAAAGAAUAUCCUAUUACCCAUCCAUACAGCCCAUACACCUCCCCAAGUUCUGGCAAAUGGGAUCAUAUAGUACUACCCGGAGCCCUACAUUUAUUGCUGGUUUUGACAUUUCAUAUGGACGAGAAGAAGCUGUGCCUCAGGAACCCUAGACAUGGAUGGACUACUUAGUCUAUUGGCAUCCAUGUAAUGCAGUACCAGGCCUUAAUUGACCAUGAACUCUCCUAGAGCAUGCAAAAGCAACUGUAUCAUCGUGGGUCAUCUAAGAAGACACAGAGGUUCUUCGUCUUCCUCCGGGGCUCCACGGUCUCUGAUGAGAAGGCCCCAUCUUUCUAAUUGUUUUAGGCAUAUCAAUAUAGGAUCAUUUCUCUUCGAGUGCUUCUAAGCUGGAAUCCUGUGACACACAGAUGUGAUGGAAUCCAGCACAUCAGAGGAAAGAGGAGAGGCACUACUCCCUGAGUGAAUGGUGAUUCCACAUCUUCAUCUGUCCUCUUGAUUUCCAAGACUCCCUCCAUCUCCAGGGAAACUUCAAGUGAUUUCUCAUUGAGGUGCAAUGUGGGCUUCUGAGCAGGAGGACUUUACUGUUGCCUUCAGGCCUUAUAUGAUUUUUUUUGAAGGAACUCCAUUGCCAACAUCCUGUAUGCUUAACUUUAGAGUCAAUUUUCUUUUGUGAACAUGCAUGUAAGUGUUUCCUAUGCUCAGAGGCCAGGGGUCUUGGGUGUCUGUCUCUAUUACUGUCUGCCUUGUUUCUUUUAUACAAAACUUGUCCCUGC